UCGGGAAUUUUGGGCAAUGGGCGAAAGCCUGACCCAGCAACGCCGCGUGAGGGAUGAAGUAUUUCGGUAUGUAAACCUCGAAAGAAUGGGAAGAAUAAAUGACGGUACCAUUUAUAAGCUCCGGCUAACUACGUGCCAGCAGCCGCGGUAAUACGUAGGGAGCAAGCGUUGUUCGGAUUUACUGGGCGUAAAGGGCGCGUAGGCGGCGCGGUAAGUCACUUGUGAAAUCUUUGAGCUUAACUCAGAACGGCCAAGUGAUACUGCUGUGCUAGAGUGCGGAAGAGGCAACCGGAAUUCUUGGUGUAGCGGUGAAAUGCGUAGAUAUCAAGAGGAACACCUGAGGCGAAGGCGGGUUGCUGGGCCGACACUGACGCUGAUGCGCGAAAGCCAGGGGAGCAAACG
rnacentral:rRNA from 1 species